GUGCUAUAUGAAGGGAGGGAAGGUUCACAUUUCCCUGAAGAGGAUGGAAGAGACCCUGUGGAUCUGACAACACACAUCUACCUUCAAGGCUUUGCCAUUUACUUUGUGGCAAUAAAGCAUUAUUACU